CAGGCACAUUUAAACAAACAUGCACACACUCUGGAGGUUCUUGACCCUGGACUGCAGGGCUGUGCAUCUGUUAAUUAUAAUCCAGUUCACAGGUGUCUGAGGGUGUUGGAGGAUAUGUUGGGAACCCUGACACACUUGGAUUGAGCCCGCGCUUGAAACAUCUGUCAGCACUCAGACUCUGGUGGUGAGGAGAAGAGAGCAGAGGGCCUGGUAUGCAGCAGGCCCGGCCCAGGAAUCAGUGCAGUCGCUCAGCUUGGCACGGCUGUCUUGUUUAUUUGGCCUGACCUCGCAUUCGCUCCAAGGUUACGGAACCUGCUUAGUGAAAGGAGCCCAUUGUCCUGCAGGAAAAAUCUGUUACAAAUAUUUACCAUGGGGGGAAUGCAAAGCCAUGGCACACAGCCAGCCAGACUCAAGCUGUAAAAUUCACUACAGUGUAUUUUUGAAGUAGCCACCUCCACCCACCAGUACUUUUAACCGGGGUUAAAAUUAUACCCCACAUUUUUAUUAAUGAGAUCAAACUGUCACAGGUUGUUAGUCAUGAAAUAGCCAAAACAUCAGGAUCUUAUGAUUUCCUUCAAGCCAAAGUUAUCCCAUAACAUAACAUUAAAACAUACAGCAAGAGUAUAGGGACAGUGUGGCUAUAUAUUUAAUGACUUCAGUUGGCCUGUGUAUUACCGAAAUUAUAAUUCCCCUUAAUUUUAUGUAUUUUCAGCAAACACACACUAAUUUGCUUCCCUGGCCUCUAGUUUGUGUACGACAUUAUAUUUAACUAUCCAAGAUGUUUUUCUGGCAGAAAAAUCUGGAGCACAUCCCCGCACUACAUUUCUUAUUCCACAGGGUCCCCCUGUUAGGUCAGUAGUAACAAAUGCAUUUUCAAAAAGGCUGCAUAAAUUCCCUUUUCCCCUCAUAUGGGUUUUCUUGAACGUGCCAUACUGGUUUUAGCUGGAAUAAAUCUGCUGGUUUUCCA